rnacentral:lncRNA from 1 species
UAUUUCGAAAUAUGUAAGCCUCCCCCUCAGCAGCGUUAUGAGCGUAGAAAUAUUUAGGUAUAUACAUCAAUCAGUAAGAAGAGGAUGAACGUUGCCGGCCAGUGAAAGCAAAACAAUGUCUUGCAUCCCAUGAAGCAUCAACCCAGCAAUUAUAGAUCACAACUGUCAACUCCUAUAAGAUACAACACUACACUUACCGGACUGAUUUUUACGUUGAUCAUUGCGAUCAACUUCUUUGAUA